rnacentral:ncRNA from 1 species
ACCGAUGCGAUGACAAAGGAUAGUACAUAUAACGAGGCGUUCAGAGAGCUUGUGGACGGUGCGAACAAGCCGCUAGUUAUAUGGAAUGGGCUUUCGAGCAUUCAAGCUGAAACGAAAGUAGGUUUGGACGGUUGCCUUCCGUUACAAAGGCGCUAUGCGUAAAGCAUGGGCAAAGUGAUUGUCGUCAUGACAAUAACUAGGGUGGCACCACGGUUCUAUCGUCCCUACA